AGUGAACGCUGGCGGUAGGCCUAACACAUGCAAGUCGAACGGCAGCACAAUAAGAGCGUGCUCUUACGGGUGGCGAGGGGCGGACGGGUGAGAAAUAGAUAAGAAACUACUAUUUCGGGGGGAAUAACGUGGGGCAACAGACGCUAAUGCAGAAUACGAUGUACGGCUGGAAUCAGGGGAGCUUCGGAGCUUGCGCGUUAGUUUGAGACGGUGUCGGGUUAGCUAGUUGGCGUGGUAAAGGCACGGCAAGGCGACGAUCCGUAGCUCGUCUGAGAGGAGGAUCCGCCACCCUGGAACUGAGACACGGUCCAGACUCCUACGGGAGGCAGCCGUGGGGAAUAUUGCACCAUGGGCGGAAGCCUGAUCCAACCAUACCGCGUGGGUUAAGAAGGCCCUCCGGUUCUUAAACCCUUUUGUUGGGAAAGAAAAAAAUCAGUUUAAAACCCCGCUGUUCUGACGGUACCCUAAGCAUAAGCCCCCGCUUACUUCCUU
rnacentral:rRNA from 1 species